rnacentral:rRNA from 1 species
AAGCUCGUAGUUGGAUUUCUGUUGUAUUUUUAUAAUAUUACUAAGGUAACAUUAUAAUAACAACAUCCUUCCCAAUAUAUUUUUUAAUAUAUGGGAAAUUUUACUUUGAGAAAAUUAGAGUGCUUAAAGCAGGCAACUGCCUUGAAUACUCCAGCAUGGAAUAAUAAGUAAGGACUUUUGUCUUUCUUGUUGGUUCUAGGAUAAAAGUAAUGGUUAAUAGGGACAGUUGGGGGCAUUCGUAUUUA